UUGCGUUGCAUGUGGGUGCUCUCCUAAAGAGUUCUCCCCAGGCCUUCCCCAGCCAGGAUCUUUAUGCUCAUGGUUUCUGGUCCCUGUGAGUAAGCACCUCUGGCAGGUUCAGCCCUGGGAUGGCACUUCUUGCUUUGUGACAAAUAAUGGAGAGGGUUUUGUGGUGCUACAGGGCAUCAGAAUUAAACCUCAUCUGGAAGAACACACACUGCACUGCACCCUCCAUCAACUACUGCAGGAGAGAUCACUGGUAUUUCUAGAGAGGGUUAAAAAAAUCCUCGCAGAAUAUUUCACUGUCUAUCUCAGCUGAUUGGUUUUACGAGCAGCAGACAGCUGUUGUUAGCACGUCAUGUGUAAAACUAAAACCUUCUUCACCUCCUCACACACGUCCUUGGGGAAGUUAGAACAGAACAAUCAGGUGAAAUGCCAGGAAAAUAUCAAUAACAGUUCCAAGGAGAGGAGCAGAGGCUACAAUCUGUCCUAUGCAAUCACCUUUGGGUUGCUUUGUGAGGACAGAAAUGUGUCACGUUCAGUCUUGGAAUCAUAGAACAUUUGUACAGAUGAUGCUGCUCGUGGAGACACAAAAAUCUGUUAAAACACCUCCAGUGCAUCAGUAAAAG